rnacentral:tRNA from 1 species
GCAGUUCGUGGCCGAAUGGUUAAGGUGUCCGCUUAGUAAGCGGAAGAUCAAAGGUUCGAUUACCAUGUGCUUCA